rnacentral:rRNA from 1 species
UACGGGAGGGUGCAAGCGUUAUCCGGAUUCACUGGGUUUAAAGGGUGCGUAGGCGGGUGUGUAAGUCCGUGGUGAAAUCUCCGAGCUUAACUCGGAAACUGCCAUGGGUACUGCAUGUCUUGAAUGUUGUGGAGGUGAGCGGAAUAUGUCAUGUAGCGGUGAAAUGCUUAGAUAUGACAUAGAACACCAAUUGCGAAGGCAGCUCACUACACAAAUAUUGACGCUGAGGCACGAAAGCGUGGGGAUCAAACAGG